UUACAGCAAUACACAACAGACCAUUACAGACAUCAUUACAGGACAGGACAUUUCAAAACCUGCUUCUAUGAUUAGAUUAGUGCAAUUAUGGUUAGGGGAUUCACAAACUGUUCCUUUAAACAAGAGACACAGUGAAGCAGUCUGACAGUCAUAGAGAGGGUUAGGGUUAGUCAGACAGUCAAAGAGAGGUAGCGUCAGAGUGAAGAGGGGCGUGCCACUAGAUAUUAUUUCACUUAUUUCUCCAUAUUAUUUUACUCUUCAUUUUGGACCUGUUCUCCAAACCCUCAACCUGCUCCUCCUACUACAAUGCCAUCCCAACUUGAGAGGCUGGCUCUGUUCCGGGUCUGGUCCAUGAUGGUCCUGCUCUACACCUCGGACCACAGGAAGGGCUGGAGACAUAUCCUCCUCCACUUCCUCAGCUGCUUGACCCUGAGCCUGGCCUUGGGAGGGGCUCUCCUACUGGGCCUCUACUUCUCUCUGAACUACAGCCUAGUGGUGUGUGGAGUCACCUCAGGCUGCUGCUCACUCCUGUUGACAGCUGUCCUGUUCUGCUCCAAGAGAGUCCGCUGCUUCUCCUUGCUGUUUCUUAUCUCCUGCACUAUGAAGCAGGGCAGGAACCUGCUUCUGACGGCAGGCACUGGGCUGGUGAUCCUCUGGAAUGUCCGGAACACCUUAAGAAACCUCAGAGAAGUAUCCAGCAGUCUGGUGUGUAACCUGGAGAAGAAGAGAGUGUUGUUGGACAUCAGUCCAAUAAAUAACUAUGUCAAUCUGCUGAGGUGGGUGGGCGAGAAGCUCAACAAGUUCAUAGACUUUGGAGUUGUCAAGUACGAUUCAUCAGUCACCGUCGGACACAGCGUUGAGUCCAACGAUCUGACGGUGAAACUUCAGGAUGCUGUCCGGACACUGAACACAACAGCGAAGAGCGCUGAGGUGUGCAUCGACCUGGUGAUGGCUGUGUUCCAGAGAGGAGUUCCGGUACUAGGGGUCACCCUGGUCAUCAUCACCACUACCCUGUUCCUCAGAAAAUACUUCUUCAACCUCAAGUACCAGAACACUUUCAUCACCAGCAGGUUUAUUAGAUACGAUGAUCAACAGAGAGCUGAGGGGAAGCCCUACCUCCUCCCUCUGAGCCCAGAGGAGGCAGAUCAGUUCCGCUCUAUCCCCUCCGCCCGCUUCACACGGAGAGAGGGCUACACCAUGCUCUGGUUCCUGGUUCCAGUGCUCACCCACCUCCCAACCUGGCUCUUAUUCAUCUCCCUGGAUGCACUGCUCUACUGGCUUAUUCUGAUUAUCAACAAACACCUUCUGGAACUGAAACCAUUCAGCAUUAACCUAAAGAUGAACCUAAACGAAGACAACAGCAUCGUGUUUAUCCCUCUCCCAGGGGCAGUCAUCAUGAAGGAUUUUUCCUACACCUUCACCCUCUUUCAGGAGGAUUGCCUUCCCCAGCCCUCCCUGCUCCUCUCCAGGUCUCUGGUCCCACUGUCUGUUAUCCUGAUUGUUCUACUGGUCCUAGACCUGCUGUCUGCCAAGAUGGGUCAGCUCAAACUACUGGUCUCAGAACAGUUCUACAACGACAACGCAGACCAGAGGGUGCAGCAACUUCAUGCUAAGAUCAGCCACAAAAGAGCCAAGACGAGGCCUCCAACGAAGAGGACUGCUCUGCUGAGAUUGCUAAAACAAAGUCGUGGCUGAACGACGACAAAGAUAAUAUAGAGCUGGCUGGGUUUUCCAUGCAUCGGCAGGACAGAGCAGCUACGUCUGAAAAGCUUCUGGUUUCCACUGUUCUUCCACACUGCGAAGGAGAAUGAUAUGCGUCUCACCUGAAAAAAUCCAAAACAGUGAUCAUCUGGGAAAUUGAUUUUUGCUUUGUCAUGCAUUCAGCCAAUCACCUGUAGAAUUACUUAAAGACCUAGGACUAGAUUCAAUUUUGUUUUGAAUUGCAUUGCUAUUUUGUGUAAAUGUUGCACAAAGAUCAACAGUUUAUUCUAAUCGCUGUAAAUAUGUCUUGUAUUAUAAACAAAUUUCUACAGUUAGUGUGUGAAUAAGUUUGUUGUACAAAGGAUUGGGCUCCAAAACUAUCACAAAUAUGGCUUCAUUAAAGUAAAUCUCAGAGUAAUCUUCUCUGAUUUGCUUUGAUGUUGUCUUCAUGAAUAAGAUACAGUUGAAGUUGCAAGUUUACAUACACCUUAGCCAAAUACAUUUAAACUCCGUUUUUACCAAUUCCUGACAUUUAAUCAUAAUAAAAAUUCCCUGUCUUAAGUCAGUUAUAAUAAUAGUAGAGAGAAUUAUUCAUUUCAGCUUUUAUUUCUUUCAUCACGAUGGUCAUUAUGGCCAAAUAGUUAUAUUUUUGUUUCAUCAGACCAGAGGACAUUUCUCCAAAAAGUACGAUCUUUGUCCCCAUGUGCAGUUGCAAACCAUAGUCUGGCUUUUUAUGGCUGUUUUGAAGCAGUGGCUUCUUCCUUAGUGAGCAGCCUUUCAGGUUAUGUCGAUAUAGGACUUGUUUUACUGUGGAUAUAGAUACUUUGUACCUGUUUCCUCCAGCAUUGUCACAAGGUCCUUUUCUGUUGUUCUGGGAUUGAUUUGAACUUUUCGCACCAUAGUACAUUCAUCUCUAGGAGACAGAAUGCGUCUCCUUCCUGAGCGGUAUGACGGCUGCGUGGUCCAUGGUGUUUAUACUUGCGUACUAUUGUUUGUACAGAUGAACGUGGUACCUUCAGGCGUUUGGAAAUUGCUCCCAAGGAUGAACCAGACAUGUGGAGAUCUACACAUUUUUUUCUGAGGUCUUGGGUGAUUUCUUUUGAUUUCCCAAUGAUGUCAAGCAAAGAGGAACUUAGUUUGAAGGUAGGGCUAGAAAUACAUACACAGGUACACCUCCAAUUGACUCAAAUUAUGUCAAUUAGCCUAUCAGAAGCUUCGAAAGCCAUUACAUAAUUUUCUGGAAUUUUCCAAGAUGUUUAAAGGCACAGUCAACUUAGUGUAUGUUAACUUCUGACCCACUGGAAUUGUGAAAAGUGAAAUAAUCUGUCUGUAAACAAUUGUUGGAAAAAUGACUUGUGUCAUGCACAAAGUAGAUGUCCUAACGACUUGCCAAAACUAUAGUUUGUUAACAAGAAAUGUGUGGAGUGGUUGAAUUAAUGACUCCAACAUAAGUGUAUGUAAACUUCCGACUUCAACUGUACAUGCAUUUAAAUUGUGCUCUAACGCUCAUAAAUAUGCCUUUGAUUUCAUUAAAGUAAACCUCAAACAUAAAGCAAUCUUCUCUUUUUUUAUUGUCUUUAUAUGCAUUACAAUGGCAACGGCAAUGUCUUCCAACUGCAAGAAGUCCUCUAGCAAUGUCUGAUCUUUUACUUAUGUGUUUUGUUAGACAAAUUUUUAGGCUUUCAAAGUGUUGGUCUGAUGGGAAUCUGUGACAUCAUCUUGUUUGAGGAACAUUAAAUAACAAAAGAGGAU